rnacentral:rRNA from 1 species
UACAGAGGUGGCAAGCGUUGUUCGGAAUUAUUGGGCGUAAAGAGCUCGUAGGCGGCUUGUCGCGUCGGAUGUGAAAGCCCGGGGCUUAACUCCGGGUCUGCAUUCGAUACGGGCAGGCUAGAGUUCGGUAGGGGAGAUCGGAAUUCCUGGUGUAGCGGUGAAAUGCGCAGAUAUCAGGAGGAACACCGGUGGCGAAGGCGGAUCUCUGGGCCGAUACUGACGCUGAGGAGCGAAAGCGUGGGGAGCGAACAGG